AGAUUAAGUUAUUAAGGGCGCACGGUGGAUGCCUUGGCACUAGAAGCCGAUGAAGGACGUUACUAACG
rnacentral:rRNA from 2 species